rnacentral:rRNA from 1 species
AUUGAACGCUGGCGGCAUGCUUUACACAUGCAAGUCGAACGGCAGCGCGGGCUUAGGCCUGGCGGCGAGUGGCGAACGGGUGAGUAAUCCAUCGGAACGUGCCCAGUAGUGAGGGAUAGCUCGGCGAAAGCCGGAUUAAUACCACAUACGACCUGAUGGAGAAAGGUGGGGAUCUUCGGACCUCGAGCUAUUGGAGCGGCCGAUGGCAGAUUAGCUAGUUAGUGAUGUAAAGGCCUAUCAAUGCGGCGAUCUGUAGCUGGUCUGAGAUGACGACCAGCCAUACUGGGAUUGAGACCCGGCAGAGUUUCCUACGGGAGGGACAAUUGGGGAAUUUUGGACAAUGGGCGAAAUCCUGCUCCAGCAAUGCCGCGUGUGGGAUGAAGGGCUUCGGGUUGUAAAACACUUGUGGCGGGAACGAAAAGGACUGUGCAAAUACCACGGUGCGAUGCCGGUACCCGCAGAAUAAGCACCGGCUAACUACGUG